rnacentral:rRNA from 1 species
ACACCUUAAAGAAGAUGAGGUUGAUAGGCCAGGAGUAGAAGUUCAGUAAUGAAUGUAGCGGACUGGUACUAAUAAGUCGAGAACUUAACUUA